rfam:Otolemur garnettii contig187491, whole genome shotgun sequence.
GUCUAAGUACACAUGGCUGGUACAGUGAAACUGCGAAUGGCUCAUUAAAUCAGUUAUGGUUCCUUUGGUCACUCGCUCCUCUCCUACUUGGAUAACUGUGGUAAUUGUAGAGCUAAUACAUGCCGAGGGGCGCUGACCCCCUGGGGGGGGGAUGUGUGCAUUUAUCAGAUCAAAACCAACCUGGUGAGCUCCCCUCCGGCCCCAGCCGGGAGGCGGGCGUGGGUGGCUUUGGUGACUCUAGAUAACCUCAGCCGAUGGUAGCCCCCCGUGGCAACGACGACCCAUUCGAACUUCUGCCCUUUCGAUGGUAGUCGCAGUGCCUACUAUGGUGAUCACGGGUGACCUGGAAUCCGGGUUGGAUUCCAGAGAGUGAGCCUGAGAAACGGCUACCACAUCCAAGGAAGGCAGGAGGCGCGCAAAUUACCCACUCCAGAUCCAGGGAGGUAGUGGCGAAAAAUAACAAUACAGGACUCUUUCGAGUCCUGUAAUUGGAAUGAGUCCACUUUAAAUCCUUUAACCAGGAUCCAUUGGAGGGUAAAUCUGGUGCCAGCAGCCGCGGUAAUUCCAGCUCCAAUAGCAGUUAAAAAGCUCGUAGUUGGAGCUUGGGAGCUGGCGGGCGGUCCGCAGCGAGCCACCGCCCGUCCCAGCCCCUUGCCUCUCCGCGCCCCCUCGAUGCUCUUAGCUGAGUGUCCCGCAGGGCCAAAGCGUGUACUUUGAAAAAAUUAGAGUCUUCAAAGCAGGCCUGAGCCACCUGGAUACCGCAGCUAGGAAUAAUGGAAUAGGACCUCAGUUCUAUUUUGUUGGUUUUCAGAACUGUGGCCAUGAUUAAGAGUGACCGGGGCAUUUGUAUUGUGCCGCUAGAGGUGAAAUUCUUGCACCGGCGCAAGACGGACCAGAGCUAAAGCAUUUGCCAAGAAUGUUUUCAUUAAUCAACAACGAAAGUCACAGGUUCUAAGACGAUCAGAUACUGUCCUAGUUCCAACCAUAAACGAUGCCAACUGGCGAUGUGGCGGCGAUAUUCCGAUGACCCGCUGGGCAGCUUCCGGGAAACCAAAGUCUUUGAGUUGGGGGGAGUAUGGUUGCAAAGCUGAAACUUAAAGGAAUUGAGGAAGGGCACCAGCAGGAGUGGAGCCUGCGGCUUAAUUUGACUCAACACAGGAAACCUCCCCCUGACACGGACAGGAAUGACAGAUUGAUAGCUCUUUCUUGAUUCCGUGGGUGGUGGUGCAUGGCCGUUCUUAGUUGGUGGAGUGAUUUGUCUGGUUAAUUCCGAACAAGACUCUGGCAUGCUAACUAGUUGUACUCCCAAGUGGUUGGCUCCCCCAACUUCUUAGAGGGACAAGUGGCAUUCAGCCCCCACCCCCCCAGAUUGAGCAAUAACAGGUCUGUGAUGCCCUUAGAUGUCCGGGGCUGCACGGGCACUACACUGACUGGCUCAGUGUGUGCCUACCCUACCCAGGCAGGCGCGGGUAACCUGUUGAGCCCCAUUCAUGAUGGGGAUUGGGGAUUGCAAUUAUUCCCCAUGAACGAGGAAUUCCCAGUAAGUGCGGGUCAUAAGCUUCCGUUGAUUAAGUCCCUGCCCUUUGUACACACUGCCCGUUGCUACUACCGAUUGCAUGGUUUAGUGAGGCCCUCAGAUCGGCCUUGCCUGGUCCGCCCACCUGGCAGAGCGAGGAGAAGAUUGUCGAACUUGACUAUCUAGAGGAAGUAAAAGUCAACAAGGUUUUCGUAGGUGAACCUGCGGAAGGAUCAUUA